UCUGGACACUGCUGCACUGGGGGACCAAGCUCCAGGCCUCCUGCUCCAAGGCCUUCUAUACUACCAGCCCUGGUUCUUUGUAAUGAUGAACAACUUCAUCUCAUCUGCUUUGGGGAUGGUCCCUAUCUCCCAACUAUCAUUCACACAAAGAAAAGGAAGCAAAAUGAUUAAUUGGAAGGGUUCCUAAAAGCUGGGAGGGCAUCUGACCCCCUCAGCCUUCCCCUUAUCGCUCUAAGCUUUUUUACCCUUGGGUGGGUUUUUGCUACAGCUAUUGGUUUCCUUCUAUGGACACCUUGAUGAUUGUUUGGGACUGUUCUAUGGAAACACUUUGAGACACUUGGGUCCAGGGUACAAAAGAUAAUGUUCAGUGGCAUGGAGUUUCCCUGGGAACUACGGAAAAUCAUGUUGGGAGAUGAGGAAGCAGAAAGGAACCCUGGGAGGUAGCCAAAAGAGGACGUAGCCAGUCAUUAACUGCCUGACACCUUCAGAACCCGUCCCAGGCACAGAAGGGCAAUGUUCCCUAAGCCCCAAAGCUCCUGGCACACAGGCAUGGCUGAGCAAGGCCUACCCCAGGCUGCUCACUAGGCUGCUGGGCUCACGUGGAAAGGAGCUAUGCACCCCCAGCUCCUUCCUCCAGCUCUGGGCCAUUUCUACCUGCCGCAUCCCUGACUACUUUCCUGGCAUGCUGCUUCUGUGAGAUCCAUGAAGUCAAUUCUCUACUACCUGAGAAGGUUUUUGCUGGGUCUUCCUUUCCUGGCCCUGCCUCAGGGUCCUGACUGAAAGCACAUGGAGAAAAUGAGCCAUGAACAAUCAAACAAGGGUCACCCUGUCAGAGUGUACCAUGUCUGCCUUCAUAUGCUCCAAACUGAUGCAGAACAGGAUGGCAUCAGAGCUAUGCAUUAAAUCCAGGAAGGCUUCCUGUAGGAGGAUCGGACUUCAGAAAAAGAGAAGUUCAAACCAGGAGAAGGUAUGAGGAAGGCACUGCCAGGGAAGGAAGACCUCCCAUGAGAGAAAAGGGAGGAUCAGCAGGAUACCCAGGAGACAGGAAGGAUCUCAGGUUAACUAAGGACCAUAAAACAAAAGAAGCCAGGCCAGCAAUGCCUGUGAACUGAACCUCUAUGCCAGGGAGAAUGUACUCUGACUCCAGGGCUGCUCCACGUAGACAACAAAAAUAACCCAGAAAUAAAGGCUCAGCCCACAAGUCUUAACACUUGGGUGUGUUUCUCAAAAUGGGAUCCCUGUCUGCUCACACUGCCAUCAGCCCAGCCCAGACCUCAGACCCUGCCAGAGGUUCUGAUCCAGCUGGCCUAAAGUGGAACUGCCAAGCAUGUGGCAAUCUGUUACAGCACCAAUGGAAUACACACAUACUAC